rnacentral:rRNA from 1 species
GCUUACGGCCAUACCACCCUGAACACGCCCGAUCUCGUCCGAUCUCGGAAGCUAGGGUCGGGCCUGGUUAGUACUUGGAUGGGAGACCGCCUGGGAAUACAGGUGCUGUAAGCU